UACGGGGGGGGUAAGCGUUGUUCGGAAUUACUGGGCGUAAAGGGCUAGUAGGCGGCCAACUAAGUCGGACGUGAAAUCCCUCAGCUUAACUGGGGAACUGCGUCCGAUACUGGAUGGCUUGGAUUUGGGAGAGGGAUGCGGAAUUCCAGGUGUAGCGGUGAAAUGCGUAGAUAUCUGGAGGAACACCGGUGGCGAAGGCGGCAUCCUGGACCAAUAUUGACGCUGAGGAGCGAAAGCCAGGGGAGCAAACGGG
rnacentral:rRNA from 1 species